GACGAACGCUGGCGGCGUGCUUAACACAUGCAAGUCGAACGGGGUCCAUGAGAGCUUGCUCUCGGAAGACCUAGUGGCGAACGGGUGAGUAACACGUGAGAAACCUGCCUCGGAGUGGGGAAUAACUCGAGGAAACUCGAGCUAAUACCGCAUACCUUCAUUUGACCGCAUGGUCAGUUGAAGAAAGAUUUAUCGCUCUGAGAGGGUCUCGCGGCCUAUCAGCUUGUUGGUGGGGUAACGGCCUACCAAGGCAACGACGGGUAGCUGGAUUGAGAGAUCGACCAGCCACACUGGAACUGAGACACGGUCCAGACUCCUACGGGAGGCAGCAGUGGGGAAUCUUGCGCAAUGGGCGAAAGCCUGACGCAGCAACGCCGCGUGCGGGAUGAAGGCCUUCGUGGUUGUAAACCGCUUUCAGUAGGGACGAAAAUGACGGUACCUGCAGAAGAAGCUCCGGCUAACUACGUGCCAGCAGCCGCGGUAAAAGUACUCU
rnacentral:rRNA from 1 species